rnacentral:misc_RNA from 1 species
GAUGAAGAACGUAGCGAAAUGCGAUACGUAGUGUGAAUUGCAGAAUUCAGUGAAUCAUCGAAUCUUUGAACGCACAUUGCGCCCUUUGGUAUUCCAAAGGGCAUGCCUGUUCGAGCGUCAUUUGUACCCUCAAGCUUUGCUUGGUGUUGGGCGUCUUGUCUCCAGUUCGCUGGAGACUCGCCUUAAAGUCAUUGGCAGCCGGCCUACUGGUUUCGGAGCGCAGCACAAGUCGCACUCUUUUCCAGCCAAGGUCAGUGUCCAACAAGCCUUUUUUCAACUUUUGACCUCGGAUCAGGUAGGGAUACCCGCUGAACUUAAGCAUAUCAAUAAGCGGAGGA